rnacentral:rRNA from 1 species
GGUGUGUAGGCGGGCGUGCGCGUUCGGGGUGAAAGGUUCCGGCUCAACCGGAAAUAUGCCUCGGAUACGGCACGUCUUGAGUGCGGGAGAGGACGGUGGAAUUCCUGGUGUAGCGGUGAAAUGCGUAGAUAUCAGGAGGAACACCAGUGGCGAACGCGGCCGUCUGGCCCGCAACUGACGCUGAAACACGAAAGCGUGGGGAUCAAACAGGAUUAGAUACCCUGGUAGUCCACGCCCUAAACGAUGCGCACUCGCUGGAGGGGCGAAGCUUCUCUGGCUCAGGGAAACCGUUAAGUGCGCCGCCUGGGGACUACGCCCGCAAGGGUGAAACUCAAAGGAAUUGACGGGGGCCCGCACAAGCGGUGGAGCAUGUGGUUUAAUUCGAUGAUACGCGAAGAACCUUACCAGGGCUUGACAUCUAUCUGACAGGGGUAGAGAUAUCCCGUUCCUUAGGACAGAUAGACAGGUGCUGCAUGGCUGUCGUCAGCUCGUGUUGUGAGAUGUUGGGUUAAGUCCCGCAACGAGCGCAACCCUUACUGCUAGUUGCCAUUGGGUAACUCAGGGCACUUUAGCUGGACUGCCGGUGACAAACCGGAGGAAGGUGGGGAUGACGUCAAGUCCUCAUGG